rnacentral:rRNA from 1 species
AGAACGAACGCUGGCGGCAGGCCUAAUACAUGCAAGUCGAACGCACUCUUCGGAGUGAGUGGCAGACGGGUGAGUAACGCGUGGGAACCUUCCCAAUGGUACGGAAUAACUCCGGGAAACCGGUGCUAAUACCGUAUAAGCCCCUCGGGGGAAAGAUUUAUCGCCAUUGGAUGGGCCCGCGUCGGAUUAGCUAGUUGGUAAGGUAAUGGCUUACCAAGGCUACGAUCCGUAGCUGGUCUGAGAGGAUGAUCAGCCACACUGGGACUGAGACACGGCCCAGACUCCUACGGGAGGCAGCAGUAGGGAAUCUUGGACAAUGGGCGAAAGCCUGAUCCAGCCAUGCCGCGUGAGUGAAGAAGGCCUUAGGGUUGUAAAGCUCUUUUGGCGGGGACGAGUAAUGACGGUACCCGCAGAAUAAGCCCGGCUAACUUCGUGCCAGCAGCCGC